AUCCUCCCUCAGCCUGGUGGAAGUGGCUCAUCAUCACGCUGGUGGGUUUAUUCGUCCUCUUCAUCAUCCUCGUGGUCCUCAUCAGACGGAGAGCUGAAGGGAAAAAAACACAGACGGACGAAAGCAUCGGAAUGAGCUCUCAGCAUGCUGGGAUCCAGCCCGGUCCAGAACCCCGUCAGGACGCGGCCGACCCCGAGGAAGGCGUAGCCUACGCCUCCGUCAGCUACACCCAGACGGCCGGAGGAGCAGCGCGGGCUCGGGUCAUUGAUGGUGACGAUGGUGAUGAUGCGGUGACUUACUGCACUGUGAAAGCUCCUCUUCCUCCUUCUUCUUCUUCUUCUUCUGGAGCCUCUGCUGAUCCCAGCGAGCUCUACGCGGUCAUUAACAAACCCAGACACUGAUGAGUUUCGCAACACUUUACAAGGUGAAAGGAUUGUUCCAAAGAUGCUGGUUUUGGUCCUGAAAGACUCUUGUUUGAGCAGUGAGGAGGAUUCUGUUCACGAUGACCUUUGACCCAGUGAACACACCUCAGACUGAGACGCAGUGGACCAGUCAGACUGCAUACUUUGAUGGUGACAUGAGGACACACCCCCUCUGAUGAAGGACAACAAGCUGCAACAAGCUGCAUCACUUCACUCCGUCUGAUGGAAGCUGAAGUGAAGCACGGAGAUCCUUUUCUACAGACCUGCUGAGGACAGAAGAGAGCUGCACACUGAGGAAGAUCAUGUCUACAAGAUCAGUGAAGCUGUGAGCCGCCUUCAAACUUCCCCAAUAUUCACAGAUUCCUCCAACUUGUGUCCACCAAGAGGACGCUGACUUCAUCAGAGAGCAGUGAUUGUUCUCUACAGUUGACAAGGACAGAUGGAGAAAGUCAAGAAGGACAUCCUUGACAUUUUAAAAGAACUCAACGAGGAUGAGUUUGAAGAGUUCAAGUGCCACCUGAAGAACUAUCCAAGCCCAGAGGACCUCCGAUCAAUCCCACCCUGUCACCUGCAGAACGCAGACAGGAUGAAAACAGUGGACCUGAUGGUUCUGUGCUACGACACAGACUCGGUUCAGGUGGCCAUGAAGGUUUUGAAAGAGAUGCGAAUGAACAAUCUGGCUGAAAAAUUAUCCAAAAUGAACUUUACAGAGAUUUUCACCAACUGUCAACUUGAACUCAAAUCCAACCUGAAGGAGAGGUUCCGGUCUGUGUUUGAGGGCAUCGCUGAAGCAGGAAACCCAACCCUUCUGAAUGAGAUCUACACAGAGCUCUACAUCACAGAGGGAGGGACUGCAGAUGUCAAUCAAGAACAUGAGGUCAGACAGAUUCAAACAGCAUCCUGGAGACCAGCCAGACCAGAAACAACCAUUAGACUAGAAGACCUCUUCAAAGCCUCAGCUGGAGAAGAGGAACCAAUCAGAACAGUGAUGACUAAGGGAGUGGCUGGCAUUGGAAAAACAGUCUUAACACAGAAGUUCACUCUGGACUGGGCUGAAGACAAAGACCACCAGGACAUACAGUUCACAUUUCCAUUCACCUUCAGAGAGCUGAAUGUGCUGAGAGAGAAGAAGUUUAGCUUGGUGGAACUUGUUCAUCACUUCUUCAGUGAAACCAGAGAAGCAGGAAUCUGCAGGUUUGAAGAGUUCCAGGUUGUGUUCAUCUUUGACGGUCUGGAUGAGUGUCGACUUCCUCUGGACUUCCACAACAAUGAGAUCCUGACUGAUGUCACAGAGACCUCCUCAGUGGAUGUGCUCCUCACAAACCUCAUCAGGGGGAAGCUGCUUCCCUAUGCUCGCCUUUGGAUAACCACACGACCUGCAGCAGCCAAUCAGAUCCCUCCUGACUGUGUUGGCAUGGUGACAGAGGUCAGAGGGUUCACUGACCCCCAGAAGGAGGAGUACUUCAGGAAGAGGUUCAGCGAUGAGGUGCAGGCCAGCAGGAUCAUUUCUCACAUCAAGACCUCACGAAGCCUCCACAUCAUGUGCCACAUCCCAGUCUUCUGCUGGAUCACUGCUACAUUUGUGGAGGAGGAGUUGAAGACCAGAGAGGGAGGAGAGCUGCCCAAGACCCUGACUGAGAUGUACAUCCAAUUCCUGGUGGUUCAGUCCAAACUGAAGAAGGUCAAGUACGAUGGAGGAGCUGAGACGGAUCCACACUGGAGUCCAGAGAAUAGGAAGAUUAUCGAGUUUCUGGGAAAACUGGCUUUUUAUCAACUGCAGAAAGGAAACCUGAUCUUCUAUGAAUCCGACCUGACAGAGUGUGGCAUCGAUAUCAGAGCAGCCUCAAUGUACUCAGGAGUGUUCACUCAGAUCUUCAGAGAGGAGAAAGGACUGUCCAAGGAGGUGUUCUGCUUCGUCCAUCUGAGUGUUCAGGAGUUUCUGGCAGCUCUUCAUGUCCAUCUGACCUUCAUCAGCUCUGGUGUCAAUCUGCUGUCGGAAGAACAAACAACAUCCCAACGGGCUGAAGUCUUCAUAGACAAUCUUAAACCCAAACGUUUCUACCAGAGAGCUGUGGACCAGGCCUUAAAGAGUCCUAAUGGACACCUGGACUUGUUCCUCCGCUUCCUCCUGGGUCUUUCACUGGAGACCAAUCAGAAUUCCCUACAAGGUCUGCUGACACAGACAGGAAGUCGCUCACAGACCAAUCAGGAGACAUUCCAGUACAUCAAGGAGAAGAUCAAUGAGAAUGUGUCUCCAGAGAAAAGCAUCAAUCUGUUCCACUGUCUGAAUGAACUGAAUGAUGUUUCUCUAGAGGAGGAGAUCCAACAGUCCAUUAGUUCAGGACGUCUCUCCACAGAGAAACUGUCUCCUGCUCAGUGGUCAGCUCUGGUCUUCAUCUUACUGUCAUCAGAACAAGAACUUGGAGUGUUUGACCUGAAGAAAUACUCUGCUUCAGAGGAGACUCUUCUGAGGCUGCUGCCAGUGGUCAAAGUCUCCAACAAAGCUCUACUGAGUGGCUGUAACCUCUCAAAGAGAAGCUGUAAAGAUCUGUCCUCAGUCCUCAGCUCCCAGUCCUCUAGUCUGAGAGAACUGGAUCUGAGUAACAACGACCUGCAGGAUUCAGGAGUGAAGCUGCUGUGUGAUGGACUGGAAAGUCCACACUGUCAUCUGGAGACUCUCAGACUGAGUGACUGUAACCUCUCAGGGGGAAGCUGUGAAGCUCUGUCCUCAGUCCUCAGAUCCCAGUCCUCUAGUCUGAGAGAACUGGAUCUGAGUAACAACGACCUGGAGGAUUCAGGAGUGUGGCUGCUGUGUGAUGGACUGAAGAGUCCACACUGUCACCUGAAGACUCUCAGACUGAGUUUCUGUUUCCUCUCAGAGAUAAUCUGUGAAGAUCUGUCCUCAGUCCUCAGCUCCCAGUCCUCUAGUCUGAGAGAACUAGAUCUGAGUUACAACAACCUGCGGGAUUAUGGAGUGAAGCUGCUGUGUUAUGGACUGAGUCCACACUGUGACCUGGAGACUCUCAGACUGAGUCGCUGUGACCUCUCAGAGAGAAGCUGUGAAGAUCUGUCCUCAGUCCUCAGAUCCCAGUCCUCUAGUCUGAGAGAACUGGAUCUGAGUAACAACGGCCUGCAGGAUUCAGGAGUGAAGCUGCUGUGUGAUGGACUGAAGAGUCCACUCUGUCACCUGGAGACUCUCAGCCUGUCAGGCUGUCUGAUCACAGAGGGAGGCUGUGCUUCUCUGGUCUCAGCUCUGAGAUCCAACCCCUCCCACCUGAGAGAGCUGGACCUGAGCUACAACCAUCCAGGAGACUCGGGAAUGAUGCUGCUUUCUGAUGGACUGAAGGAUCCUAACUGGAGACUGGAGACUCUCAGGGUGGAGCCUGCUGGAGUCCUAUGGUUGAGACCAGGUCUGAAGAAGUAUUCCUGUGAACUCACAAUCGACACAAACACCGUAAACAGGGAACUCAAACUGUCUGACAACAACAGGAAGGUGACAUUUGUGAAGGAGGAGGUUCAGUCAUAUCCUGAUCAUCCAGACAGAUUUGACCUCAGACCUCAGCUGCUGUGUGGAACUGGACUGACUGGUCGCUGUUACUGGGAGGUCGAGUGGAGCGGAAGAGUUUAUGUAUCAGUGAGUUACAGAGGAAUCAAGAGGAAAGGAGUCAGUUAUGACUGUUGGUUUGGAGAGAAUCAUCAGUCCUGGAGUCUGAUCUGCUCUUAUGGAGAUUACUAUGUCCUUCACAACAAGACAUUAAUACCCAUCACCUCCUCCUCUUCAUCCUCUGAUAGAGUAGCAGUGUAUGUGGACUGUCCUGCUGGCUCUCUGUCCUUCUAUGAAGUCUCCUCUGACAGACUGAUCCGCCUCCACACCUUCAACACCACAUUCACUGAACCUCUUUAUCCUGGGUUCAGGUUCAGUUCUGGUUCAUCAGUGUAUCUGGGUCGUCUUUAGGAGGCAGAGUCUCUUCCUGGUGGAGAACCGUCCUCUCUGCUCACCACAUAGUUCAAUCUGUACAGCUGAUGUAGGUCCAUGUGGGUGUAGAUGCAGGUGGAGCAGGUGAGGGGUACCUGAGCUGGUCUGGACUCUGGGGGUCCACAGCUCUCUGGGACUUGUGGUGUUGGAGAUGAACGUGUGAAAGAGCUCAGCGAGGUGUGUUUUAAUGUCUCUGUGCUUGAUGCCUCUGUGGAUGAAUCAAUAAUCAUCAUUUAGAUGUUGGCUCCUAAUUGAAUUAGGGUUUAAUCUUAAUCUUUAUGUGUCACAAUGUUCAAGAAGACAUUUUAUAAAAAGGUCUCUCAUCUGCCUGGAUGGGGACGUCUGGAGGAAUUCAGCCAAACAACAUCUCUCGUUCUGGUAGAUUUAUUCGUCAGAUCACAGGUCAAGUAUAAGUGCUGCGUUUGCAAAGGCAGGAGCAAUCCUACCGGCCCGCAGGCCGGAAGAACACACUAACCAACAUCAGCAAGAACAUCAUGUUUUAUAACCCGAAAGACAAAGAAAAGAUUUAUGUUGGCCCUAAGCUGGCGUAGGGGAGGAUCUUCCUCCCCCCGCAUCUAAAUAUCCGGUCACAUUCAAUGUCCAGAACUCCUGACUUAACGUAAACAAUGAACAGAGUGUGGAUGUUGGAUCGUGUGGUGUGAACCCCCCCUUAUCUUACACAUCUGCUGGUUGACCUGCUGACCUUGAUUCCUCAGUCAGGACAGAAACCGUUCCCAUAUAUAUGUAACCCAAGAAGCUUCUGUUUAUACGUCUGUUUUCUAGUUCUCAACGACAUCAGUCAGGGCACCCCCAUCCUGCCAGACUGUCUGGCCUUGCUGGCACAUCCUGCUUGGUCUCUGACUUUGAAAUCUUCAGCAAAACAGGGCAACAAUUUUCUAACUCAGCACUAAGAAAAAAGCUUUUGAUUAUCACCCCCCUCUCCUCAAUAUGAGAUACAUGGAGAUUUGUGUGUUUUUCAUUUGCUAUUUUUUUCAAGGAUUUUUGUAAUGUCAAAAAUAAGUAAAAUAUCAACGUGUAAUUUUUGUUGAACCGAUUUUAACUUCAAAUCUUUCUAAAUGUGUUCAGUGGAAUCAAAUCUAAUUCCACAUAAUCAGGUUUGUUCUGAACAAAAACCUUUUGAAAGCUUCAUCAAACCUCUGAAGAAGGUUAAAUGACAGAUAACAUCAUGUACUUGUGUUUGUAUUAACGUUAUAUAAUAGUACAACGUUUAGUGCCUCCAUGUAUUACUUUGGCUUCACAGGAAUAGAAUUGUUUGUUUCUAAUGUGAAUAAAGGACUUUUAUUGGAAACAACAUGAGGUGCAGUGACUGGUCCUGGCCAGCAGAGGGACGUCACUGAUGGGAUUAAACCAGUAAACAGGAUUCAUAUUCCCAACAUGUAUCACAGUGACAAUAUAAUAAAGACCAAAUGACACCAAAGGAGAC